AACGAACGCUGGCGGCGUGGAUUAGGCAUGCAAGUCGAACGCGAAAGAGGGGGUAACUCCUCGAGUAGAGUGGCGAACGGGUGAGUAACACGUGAGAAACCUGCCUUCAGCAGGGGGAUAACACUCCCAACGGGGUGCUAAUACCGCAUGAGACCACGGAUUCGCAUGGAUCUGGGGUCAAAGGUGGCCUCUGCUUGCAAGCUACCGGCUGAAGAUGGUCUCGCGCCCAUUAGCUAGUUGGUGGGGUAAUGGCCCACCAAGGCGACGAUGGGUAGCUGGUCUGAGAGGAUGGUCAGCCACACUGGGACUGAGAUACGGCCAGACUCC
rnacentral:rRNA from 1 species